rnacentral:rRNA from 1 species
UACGGAGGGUGCAAGCGUUAUCCGGAUUCACUGGGUUUAAAGGGUGCGUAGGUGGGUUGGUAAGUCAGUGGUGAAAUCCCCGAGCUUAGCUUGGGAACUGCCAUUGAUACUAUCAGUCUUGAAUAUUGUGGAGGUUAGCGGAAUAUGUCAUGUAGCGGUGAAAUGCUUAGAUAUGACAUAGAACACCAAUUGCGAAGGCAGCUGGCUACGCAUAUAUUGACACUGAGGCACGAAAGCGUGGGGAUCAAACAGG